AUACCGCAUAAWGUUGAGAGACCAAAGCAUGGGACCUUCGGGCCAUGCGCCAUUUGAUGAACCCAUAUGGGAUUAGCUAGUUGGUAGGGUAANGGCUUACCAAGGCGACGAUCUCUAGCUGGUCUGAGAGGAUGACCAGCCACACUGGAACUGAGACACGGUCCAGACUCCUACGGGAGGCAGCAGUGGGGAAUAUUGCACAAUGGGGGRAACCCUGAUGCAGCCAUGCCGCGUGUAUGAAGAAGGCCUUCGGGUUGUAAAGUACUUUCGGUGAUGAGGAAGGUGGUGUAUCUAAUAGGUGCAUCAAUUGACGUUAAUUACAGAAGAAGCACCGGCUAACUCCGUGCCAGCAGCCGCGGUAAUACGGAGGGUGCGAGCGUUAAUCGGAAUGACUGGGCGUAAAGGGCAUGUAGGCGGAUAAUUAAGUUAGGUGUGAAAGCCCUGGGCUCAACCUAGGAAUUGCACUUAAAACUGGUUAACUAGAGUAUUGUAGAGGAAGGUAGAAUUCCACGUGUAGCGGUGAAAUGCGUAGAGAUGUGGAGGAAUACCGGUGGCGAAGGCGGCCUUCUGGACAGAUACUGACGCUGAGAUGCGAAAGCGUGGGGAGCAAACAGGAUUAGAUACCCUGGUAGUCCACGCUGUAAACGAUGUCGAUUUGGAGUUUGUUGCCUAGAGUGAUGGGCUCCGAAGCUAACGCGAUAAAUCGACCGCCUGGGGAGUACGGCCGCAAGGUUAAAACUCAAAUGAAUUGACGGGGGCCCGCACAAGCGGUGGAGCAUGUGGUUUAAUUCGAUGCAACGCGAAGAACCUUACCUGGUCUUGACAUCCACAGAAUCUUGCAGAGAUGYGAGAGUGCCUUCGGGAACUGUGAGACAGGUGCUGCAUGGCUGUCGUCAGCUCGUGUUGUGAAAUGUUGGGUUAAGUCCCGCAACGAGCGCAACCCUUAUCCUUUGUUGCCAUCGGUUAGGCCGGGAACUCAAAGGAGACUGCCGUUGAUAAAGCGGAGGAAGGUGGGGACGACGUCAAGUCAUCAUGGCCCUUACGACCAGGGCUACACACGUGCUACAAUGGCGUAUACAAAGGGAGGCGACCUCGCGAGAGCAAGCGGACCUCAUAAAGUACGUCUAAGUCCGGAUUGGAGUCUGCAACUCGACUCCAUGAAGUCGGAAUCGCUAGUAAUCGUGAAUCAGAAUGUCACGGUGAAUACGUUCCCGGGC
rnacentral:rRNA from 1 species